UAGCAAGUCUUCACAUACUUGGGUCUAAAGUGACCCCUGCUCCUCCAGUGCUUAACAGAACAGUUCUGAAGUGGUUUGAGGCCUUGCCUGCUCCAUUCAGAGCAAGGUUAUAGAAAGUUUAGACAACU